AACGAACGCUGGCGGCGCGUCUUACACAUGCAAGUCGAACGGCAGGAAGGGGCUUGCCCCUUCUGAGAGUGGCGGACUGGUGAGUAACACGUGGGUGACAUACCUUUUAGUUGGGGAUAGCUAUUAGAAAUAGUAGGUAAUACCGAAUGUGACCGUACCUGUUAGAGGGGUACGAGGAAAGGAGCUAAGGCUUCGCUAAAAGAAUGGCUCGCGGCCCAUUAUGCUCGUUGGUGAGGUAACGGCCCACCAAGGCGAUGAUGGGUAUCCGGCCUGAGAGGGUGAACGGACACAUUAGGACUGAGAUACGGCCCAGACUUCUACGGGAGGCAGCAGUUAAGAAUAUUCCGCAAUGGACGAAAGUCUGACGGAGCGACGCCGCGUGGAUGAAGAAUGCCGAAAGGUUGUAAAAUCCUUUUAAGCCUGAUGAAUAAGCACAGUAGGGAAUGAUUGUGCGGUGACCGUAGGGCUUGAAUAAGCACCGGCUAAUUACGUG
rnacentral:rRNA from 1 species